UUGCUUUGUGUUCCUGGAUUUGGAGAAUUUCUGGGAACACAGGAAAAGGAAAGCACCUGCCUUAGAGAGCUCUUAGAGGGAUUAUCCGCAGCCUGAAGAAAGAAGGUUACAACUGAGGAAGAACUUCUGAACAGGGAAGAGUGGAAGAAAAGACUGCAGCUCAGCUCCAGAAGCAGACCCAGAAUGGCAUCCUUCUCUGAGACCCAGACCCCAGCCCCUUUUCAUGGAAGACCAGCACAAAGGAGGAAGUAGGUUAGGGAAUGGUAAGGCUCCAUGUGAUGGGACUAAUGUGGAGAGGCCUGGGGCCUUUCCCUGAGGACUGGAUGGCUGGAGUUUGGGAGCCUGAGUUGACAGAGGAGGCUAAGCCCGGGCAGCUACUUUGUUCCAGAAAUCUAAGGUCCCUGGAGGGAGGCUCUGCUUUGGGAGGGGGAAGGGAGCUAACAUUGCAGAGCACCAACUGUGAACCAGGUACAAUGGCAGAGCCUUUCCAUACCUGUACUCACAACUAGCGGGUGAGGAGUCAAGGCAAAUAGGUGUCUCAUAGCUCCCCAUAUCUCGGCAGUCGACCACCUCCUCCUUUGAUUCUCUGAUGUCACUGCCAGUUCUCCUCCUAUUGCUCUGACCUGUCUUUCUCUGUGUCCUUUGCAAACUCAUUCUCAACUCCUUAGACUCAGUCAAGUCCCCCAGUUACACACUUCCAUGGUACUAUAUAUCAUUCCUUCAGAGCACUUAACACAGUUAUUUCCUAUGUAUUUGUCCAGUCAUUUGAAUAAUGAUCCUAGUUUCAUUGGAUGGAAAGUUCCACAAGGUCAGUGACCAUUUCUAUCUGUGUUCACCAAUGUGUUCCCAGUGCCCAGAAACAAUGCCUAGCAUAAAGCAGCUGUUUUGUAAAUACUUGUUCAAUGAAUGAAUAAAUG
rnacentral:lncRNA from 10 species